rnacentral:rRNA from 1 species
UCCAGAUCUAUGCUUAACACAUGCAAGUCGAACGAGAAAAGGUCCUUCGGGGCCCGAGUAAAGUGGCGCACGGGUGAGUAACACGUGGGUAAUCUACCCUCCGGCGGGGGACAACCACUAGAAAUGGUGGCUAAUACCGCGUACGGCCCAACGGUCCACGGACUGUUGGGAGAAAGGCUUCGGCCACCGGAGGAUGAGCCCGCGGCCCAUCAGCUUGUUGGUGAGGUAAGAGCUCACCAAGGCUAAGACGGGUAGCUGGUCUGAGAGGAUGAUCAGCCACACUGGGACUGAGACACGGCCCAGACUCCUACGGGAGGCAGCAGUGGGGAAUAUUGGACAAUGGGCGAAAGCCUGAUCCAGCCACGCCGCGUGUGUGAUGAAGGCCCUCGGGUCGUAAAGCACUGUGGGGAAGGAAGAAGUUCUGACGGUACUUCCUUAGCAAGCACCGGCUAACUCCGUGCCAGCAGCCGCGGUAAUACGGAGGGUGCGAACGUUGCUCGGAAUCAUUGGGCGUAAAGCGCACGUAGGCGGCUUGGUAAGUCGACUGUGAAAGCCCUCGGCUCAACCGAGGAAGUGCAGCCGAAACUACCUGGCUUGAGUACGGGAGAGGGUAGCGGAAUUCCCGGUGUAGAGGUGAAAUUCGUAGAUAUCGGAAGGAA